rfam:Madurella mycetomatis strain mm55 MMYC01_Sc2309, whole genome shotgun sequence.
GACAACUUGGCCGAGUGGUUAAGGCGACAGACUUGAAUUGCCCAUGUUCAUGAAAUCUGUUGGGUUCGCCCUCACAAGUUCGAAUCUUGUAGUUGUCG